ACAUGCAAGUCGAGCGAAUGACGAGGAGCUUGCUCCUCUGAUUUAGCGGCGGACGGGUGAGUAACACGUGGGUAAUCUGCCUGUAAGACGGGGAUAACUCCGGGAAACCGGGGCUAAUACCGGAUAACAAGAGAAGAAGCAUUUCUUCUUUUUGAAAGUCGGUUUCGGCUGACACUUACAGAUGAGCCCGCGGCGCAUUAGCUAGUUGGUGAGGUAACGGCUCACCAAGGCGACGAUGCGUAGCCGACCUGAGAGGGUGAUCGGCCACACUGGGACUGAGACACGGCCCAGACUCCUACGGGAGGCAGCAGUAGGGAAUCUUCGGCAAUGGGCGAAAGCCUGACCGAGCAACGCCGCGUGAGCGAUGAAGGCCUUCGGGUCGUAAAGCUCUGUUGUUAGAGAAGAACAAGUACGAGAGUAACUGCUCGUACCUUGACGGUACCUAACCAGAAAGCCACGGCUAACUACGUGCCAGCAGCCGCGGUAAUACGUAGGUGGCAAGCGUUAUCCGGAAUUAUUGGGCGUAAAGCGCGCGCAGGCGGUCUCUUAAGUCUGAUGUGAAAGCCCACGGCUCAACCGUGGAGGGUCAUUGGAAACUGGGAGACUUGAGUGCAGGAGAGAAAAGUGGAAUUCCACGUGUAGCGGUGAAAUGCGUAGAGAUGUGGAGGAACACCAGUGGCGAAGGCGGCUUUUUGGCCUGUAACUGACGCU
rnacentral:rRNA from 1 species